CCAGGAAUUGAACCCAGGUCUCCUGUAUUGCAGGCAGAUUCUCUACUGCUGAACCACCGUGUUAAGGCCAGGCAUUCUGGAAACGUCAGCUGUGGCCCAUUUGAAGCAUCCCGCGGGAGCAGGUUAGAAAUGCAGGUUCACAGGCCCACCCAGAUUUCACGGCGUGGAAACUCCAGGGCAUUCACGCACGGAUCUGCCAGGUGUCUCUCAUCCCCAGCGUUCACUUCCCGCCUUCACCUCAGCGACGUCAGAUUCCCCAGGUCACCACAUUCUCCGCGUGGAUGGCGUCUCCAGCCACCGAGGACCUGGAAACAGGGAUGCAGAGACCUGGUUUCCUGUGAAGUCGAUUCUGAGCGUGGGGCCGUGGCACGCACGCCUGCUGGGGCUCGGGGGGCCCAGCCCGUCCCGGAAGGCCUCAGCUCUCCGCCCUGGGGUGUUUCACUGUCCAUCUGCAGCAGCUCCACAUGCAAGGACCUGCCUCGUGUUCAUCCUUCAAAACGUUCCCAGCAUCUGGUGCAAAGUGUCGUAGAGUCUUGGUUUGCGUAUCUCAGAUACGGAGACAAGACCUUUUAGGAGGAAAGAGUUCAUUUCACGUGAUGAUCAUGUGCAUGUGUUGUAUACACUUGUCGCCAACUUCUUGCCGUCCCAAAGAGGUAAU